rnacentral:sRNA from 1 species
AUGCCGCGUCACUACGUGUUGGUCUGGG